CCUACGGGAGGCAGCAGUGGGGAAUAUUGCACAAUGGGGGAAACCCUGAUGCAGCGACGCAGCGUGAGUGAAGAAGUAUCUCGGUACGUAAAGCUCUAUCAGCAGGGAAGAAAAGGAAGGUACCUGACUAAGAAGGCCCGGCUAACUACGUGCCAGCAGCCGCGGUAAUACGUAGGGGGCAAGCGUUAUCCGGAUUUACUGGGUGGAAAGGGAGCGUAGAUGGGAGCACAAGUCAGGAGUGAAAUGCUGGGGCUUAACCCCGGAACUGCUUUGGAAACUGGCAGUCUGGAGUGCAGGAGGGGUAAGCGGAAUUCGUGGUGUAGCGGUGAAAUGCGUAGAUAUCAGGAGGAACACCGGUGGCGAAGGCGGCUUACUAGACUGUAACUGACGUUGAGGCUCGAAAGCGUGGGGAGCAAACAGGAUUAGAUACACCUGUAGUC
rnacentral:rRNA from 1 species